ACAUGCAGUCGAGCGACAGACGAGGAGCUUGCUCCUCUGACGUUAGCGGCGGACGGGUGAGUAACACGUGGAUAACCUACCUAUAAGACUGGGAUAACUUCGGGAAACCGGAGCUAAUACCGGAUAAUAUAUUGAACCGCAUGGUUCAAUAGUGAAAGACGGUUUUGCUGUCACUUAUAGAUGGAUCCGCGCCGCAUUAGCUAGUUGGUAAGGUAACGGCUUACCAAGGCAACGAUGCGUAGCCGACCUGAGAGGGUGAUCGGCCACACUGGAACUGAGACACGGUCCAGACUCCUACGGGAGGCAGCAGUAGGGAAUCUUCCGCAAUGGGCGAAAGCCUGACGGAGCAACGCCGCGUGAGUGAUGAAGGUCUUCGGAUCGUAAAACUCUGUUAUUAGGGAAGAACAAAUGUGUAAGUAACUAUGCACGUCUUGACGGUACCUAAUCAGAAAGCCACGGCUAACUACGUGCCAGCAGCCGCGGUAAUACGUAGGUGGCAAGCGUUAUCCGGAAUUAUUGGGCGUAAAGCGCGCGUAGGCGGUUUUUUAAGUCUGAUGUGAAAGCCCACGGCUCAACCGUGGAGGGUCAUUGGAAACUGGAAAACUUGAGUGCAGAAGAGGAAAGUGGAAUUCCAUGUGUAGCGGUGAAAUGCGCAGAGAUAUGGAGGAACACCAGUGGCGAAGGCGACUUUCUGGUCUGUAACUGACGCUGAUGUGCGAAAGCGUGGGGAUCAAACAGGAUUAGAUACCCUGGUAGUCCACGCCGUAAACGAUGAGUGCUAAGUGUUAGGGGGUUUCCGCCCCUUAGUGCUGCAGCUAACGCAUUAAGCACUCCGCCUGGGGAGUACGACCGCAAGGUUGAAACUCAAAGGAAUUGACGGGGACCCGCACAAGCGGUGGAGCAUGUGGUUUAAUUCGAAGCAACGCGAAGAACCUUACCAAAUCUUGACAUCCUCUGACCCCUCUAGAGAUAGAGUUUUCCCCUUCGGGGGACAGAGUGACAGGUGGUGCAUGGUUGUCGUCAGCUCGUGUCGUGAGAUGUUGGGUUAAGUCCCGCAACGAGCGCAACCCUUAAGCUUAGUUGCCAUCAUUAAGUUGGGCACUCUAAGUUGACUGCCGGUGACAAACCGGAAGAAAGGUGGGGAUGACGUCAAAUCAUCAUGCCCCUUAUGAUUUGGGCUAACACCGGGCUACAA
rnacentral:rRNA from 1 species